rnacentral:rRNA from 1 species
GUGGGCGCUGGAGAAUUGAGGGGGGCUGCUCCUAGUACGAGAGGACCGGAGUGGACGCAUCACUGGUGUUCGGGUUGUCAUGCCAAUGGCACUGCCCGGUAGCUAAAUGCGGAAGAGAUAAGUGCUGAAAGCAUCUAAGCACGAAACUUGCCCCGAGAUGAGUUCUCCCUGAGACUAUAAGUCUCCUGAAGGAACGUUAAAGACGAUGACGUUGAUAGGCCGGGUGUGUAAGCGCAGCGAUGCGUUGAGCUAACCGGUACUAAUGAACCGUGAGGCUUAACCUUACAACGCCGAAG